AUUUUUUUGUAGUGUAACUUUUUUCGCACUGAAAUACAAACCGAAUGUCGGGUUGAUAAUGCUUCCCUGUUAAUAUGUUGUAUCAGAUUACCUCCUACAUCGGGGCAAAAUCGGCGAUCAACAGGUUGAUGGGGAGGGUGGAGGUGCUGGGGGUGUCCUAUUGUGUCAAGUCUGCUCCUGCUCCUCCCCUCUGGUGUACGACGUCGCCAGAGUACUAACCACCCGUCCUGGCACUCAACAUUACGCACACGUGUGAAUUAUGAUUCACACCUGCACUCCAUUACCUUCAUAAUUUUCUCCCCUUUAUAUGUCACUCUCCCAUGUUCACUCACCAGUUGGUAUUGUUCUUGUGUAUCGGUGUGCUGCCUUAUGUAAGUGGUGGUUUGUUGGUUUAUUAAAAUGUUUCACCUGC
ensembl:lncRNA